GCAGAAUUGUUUUUACUAAUCUGCUUAUUACCCACUCUGUAGUGUGGAAACAAAUUAUUCAUGCACAAGGUCCUCUUACUGUUCCUAGAAUGCAGUGGAAAGAGAACAGAUUAGUUUUCCUCCCUCAGAACACAAUCCCUAGAAACAACCUACCUCAGAUGAGAUAUUGCCUAAUUAUUUUCAAAAGACAGUGAAACAUCAUGGAUGUAAAUGUUUGCUGCAAAAUAAAUACAUGCUAGAAACAGAAGCAUCUGGGUCACAGCUAUAUUAGAGCUACCUGUGUUCCCCUGUCACUGACAUUAAAACAAAAAUGUCCAAUACAAUCAUUCACAGCGUGGGAGAGGGGAAGUUGAAGGAUGGAAAGGCCAGGCAUAAAAGGAUUUCAGAAUUUCCGUCCAUAAGGAAGUAGCUUUGUGCACUGUCUGUUACUGUGUGCAAGGUGAAAUUUGAAGAAUGAAAACGUGCAGUAACAAGGGCUCCUUUGUCCAACUCACCUCUCCAGAUACCAAGUUUCAGACAUGUUGCAUUUUAAUUGAAAGGUUGAUAUAAUUUUUUUUAAAGAACACUUGCGGUGUUUGAAGUGACAAAGGCUGCUGUGACAAAAAAGCAGGGAAAGGGAAUUUUUUUUUAAAAGCAAACAACAACAACAAAAACCCCACAGAAAAGCAAACAACAAACAAACAAAAAACAGAGGAAGAAGUCGAACACCCUGGGCUGUGACUACUUCCAGGAAGGGGCUACAAGAGGCAGUUGGAAAUUCUAUUUGUUUUGCAACUGUGGGUUUUCCGGCCCGCUUCCUUUCUAAAGUAUAUUACUCUGCUUUUGGUUCAUGAAGUUAUCCAUUUCUGUUUUCUGGAACAGCUAUGUAUUUUCUUUAUCUAUCAUCUAUCUAUCUAUUUACCAUCUAUCUUUUCUACCUUUCGCUAUCAAGAGCUUGGGUCAAGCAGGAUAGAAUUCCAGUGUAUGUUCACUCUACCAUUUAAAACAAGAGCUCUUGUAGGCAUUCUCCAUCACAUCAUAAACCUGAGCUUUCUAAAACAGGGUGUGGCAAACUACCAUGCAUGGACCAUGUCUGACACAGUCUGCGUUUGUAAGUAAAGUUGUAAUGGGACACAGCCAAUACAUGUGUUACAUAAUGUCUCUGGCUAUUUUCAUGGUAUAAUGGAAGAGCUGAGUCAUUGAGAGAGAGACCAUAUGGC
rnacentral:lncRNA from 1 species